AACGCUAGCUACAGGCUUAACACAUGCAAGUCGAGGGGCAGCAUGAACAAAGCUUGCUUUGUUCGAUGGCGACCGGCGCACGGGUGAGUAACGCGUAUCCGACCUGCCCAUGACUCGGGCACAGCCGCUCGAAAGAGCGAUUGAUUCCCGAUACGUCGUAUGAGUAGAUCAUGUGAUGAAAGAUUCAUCGGUCAUGGAUGGGGAUGCGUAGGAUUAGGUAGUAGGCGGGGUAACGGCCCACCUAGCCGACGAUCCUUAGGGGUUCUGAGAGGAAGGUCCCCCACACUGGUACUGAGACACGGACCAGACUCCUACGGGAGGCAGCAGUGAGGAAUAUUGGUCAAUGGGCGGAAGCCUGAACCAGCCAAGUAGCGUGAAGGAUUACUGCCCUACGGGUUUUAAACUUCUUUUAUGCGAGAGUAAUGUGCGCCACGUGUGGUGUAUUGCAAGUAUCGCAUGAAUAAGCAUCGGCUAACUCCGUGCCAGCAGCCGCGGUAAUACGGAGGAUGCGAGCGUUAUCCGGAUUUAUUGGGUUUAAAGGGUGCGUAGGCGGAAAGUUAAGUCAGUGGUCAAACUGCGGAGCUCAACUCCGUAUCGCCAUUGAAACUGGUUUUCUUGAGUGAGUGAGAAGUAUGCGGAAUGCGUGGUGUAGCGGUGAAAUGCAUAGAUAUCACGCAGAACUCCGAUUGCGAAGGCAGCAUACCGGCACUCAACUGACGCUGAAGCACGAAAGCGUGGGUAUCGAACAGGAUUAGAUACCCUGGUAGUCCGCACCGUAAACGAUGGAUACUCGCUGUCGGCGAUACACAGUCGGCGGCCAAGCGAAAGCAUUAAGUAUCCCACCUGGGGAGUACGCCGGCAACGGUGAAACUCAAAGGAAUUGACGGGGGCCCGCACAAGCGGAGGAACAUGUGGUUUAAUUCGAUGAUACGCGAGGAGCCUUACCCGGGCUUGAACUGCGGUGGACCGGUCCAGAGAUGGACUUUCCCUUCGGGGCCGCCGUGGAGGUGCUGCAUGGUUGUCGUCAGCUCGUGCCGUGAGGUGUCGGCUUAAGUGC
rnacentral:rRNA from 1 species